rnacentral:rRNA from 1 species
AGCAGCCGCGGUAAUUCCAGCUCCAAUAGCGUAUAUUAAAGUUGUUGCAGUUAAAAGCUGUAGUUGAAUUUUGGAUUCUGCCAAUUGGUCCAUCUUUUAGAUGAGUACUGGUUGUGUGGGUCUAUCCGCCUGGUGAUACGUAAUGUCCUUUAUUGGAUGUUGCGGGUAGUCAGGACCUUACCUUGAAAAAUUAGAGUGUUUAAAGCAGGCUUAUGCCGGAAUACAUUAGCAUGGAAAAU